rnacentral:lncRNA from 1 species
UCGAAGCUUCUCUGGUUUCGCAUUACAUUUCCCAGAGGGCCUUGGGGCACAGUCCAAUGAGGAGCGAGCCGGGUGGCCGGCUGAGGGGCGUGCUUCAUGCUCGCGGGAUUUUUAAAAAUGGUUUCUCCUGGAUCUUAUCCCAACUGCGCCUGAGACCUUGUUUCACCUCCUGAUGUGCUGGGUGUGGUUAGGCCUCGAGCCGGGAGCUAUUUGCCUCCCAGGAGGAAGCCAGGGCAGGGUUCCGCGGGGAAUGGCGGUGAGGGAGCCACUCGGGACGCGGAGGCCCUAAAAUGAAGAAGCUUCGGCCUGAGGCUUCGGGAGCGGCGAGCAGGGAAGUGGGAGUGUGUGUGAGUGUGUGUGUGUGUGUGUGUGUGUGUGUGUGAAUAAGCCAGAGGCUGCCUGGUGGGGCCCCGCCGUGGCCCAGUGACUGAGAUAAUUGUCUUCGUCUGUGGGGUAAUGCGAACAAGCCCCGUUCCCCUAAGCCGUGAUGCAUGCGGGGUUGACGCGGCCGGGCUCUGUCCCCAUAAACUGUGACACAGGUGUGUGUAGACGUCUAUGAGGGCCAUAGCGCCGGGCUGUAAGGGCAUCUGUAGGGGUGACGCAGCCGGGCUGUGUCUCUGCACCUCCGUUCUGUGCGAGGUCAAUGCUGGUGGGGUCUGCAGAGGUGGCACGGCCAGGACGGGUCUCCGUGUCUCUGAAAUGUGCCUUUGCACUUCUGUCAGGUUGACAGGGACAGGCAGUGUCCCUCUGGUGUGAGCGUCUGUGGGUGUGAAAGGGCCAGCGAGUGUGCGGCUGUGACUGGUCGGGAUCGGGCCUGGGUGCAUGGCCUUUUGAGUGAGCACAGGUGUGUGCGACCAUGUCACCUGUCUUUCUAGUGUCUCCGUUGCUUCCUGUGCCUUGGCCUUCCAGCCAUGUGGUACCUGCUAGGGAGCAGUGGUCCCAAAGUGACGUGAGAGGCUCUACGCUAUUGUGAAAAUGACCAAGAAGAAGGCUUCACAAGUCACGAGAUGGCAGUUUUGGAGCCAGAAGUGCUCUCCGUGCACACUACCUGGACGACAAGAGGAAGUAACCUCAAGAAUAGAAUUCCUUUUGGGGAAGAAAGAGCUGGCCUUCAGGAAAAGCAUCCCGGAGGAGGAAGAAGAAGUGUUAUAUGUCCUAAAGUAAGGUUUCAGGCUGGAGUGCAAUGGCAUGAUCUCAGCUCACUGGAACCUCUGCGUCCUGGGUUGCAGCGAUUCUCCUGCCUCAGCCUCCCAAGUAGCUGGAAUUAUAGGCACCCACCACCAUGCCUGGCUAAUUUUUGUAUUUUUAGUAGAGACGGGGUUUCAUCAUGUUGGCCAGGCUGGUCUCAAACUCCUGAUUUCAAGUUAUCUGCCCGCCUCAGCCUCCCAAAGUCCUGGGAUUACAGGUGUGAGCCACCAUGCCCU